CAGCCGCCACGGGAAUACGAAGGGGGCUAGCGUUGUUCGGAUUUACUGGGCGUAAAGCGCACGUAGGCGGACUUUUAAGUCAGGGGUGAAAUCCCGGGGCUCAACCCCGGAACUGCCUUUGAUACUGGAAGUCUUGAGUAUGGUAGAGGUGAGUGGAAUUCCGAGUGUAGAGGUGAAAUUCGUAGAUAUUCGGAGGAACACCAGUGGCAAGGCGGCUCACUGGACCAUUACUGACGCUGAGGUGCGAAAGCGUGGGGAGCAAACAGGAUUAGAUACCCGCGUAGUCCCUGUCUCUUAUACC
rnacentral:rRNA from 1 species